GAAGAUCCCUGCGACCCCCUUUCUCUUUACCCCCAGAGAUGAGCCUUGCUGAUGCCGCAGAACCAGGCCGGACCGAUACCUCUGGGCCAUCCUGGAGUGGAGGGCGAGAAGCCAUGGUACGGUGGCCCAGGCCUGCAGAGAGAGAGAGAGAGACCCUACAUACCAUUGAGAAGAAGGUUGGGGGACGGCAUGCUGCCCCGGGGGUGCCCAGCGCUGCUGGGGCCUGGAAGCAGCAUGCUGAUGUGGGUCCAGUAGCCACGAGUGAGGCCCCGGGACGCCAGAAAGGCCUCCUUAUUAAAGGUUUCACUGGUCA